rnacentral:rRNA from 1 species
AUACGGAAGGUCCGGGCGUUAUCCGGAUUUAUUGGGUUUAAAGGGAGCGCAGGCGGAGAUGCAAGCGUGACGUCAAAUUUCGGGGCUCAACCCCGUCUCGCGUCGCGAACUGCGUCCCUUGGUUGCGGGAAGGGGAGGCGGAACUCGUGGUGUAGCGGUGAAAUGUAUAGAUAUCACGAAGAACUCCGAUCGCGAAGGCAGCCUUCCGGCCCGUCAACGACGCUCAUGCUCGAAGGUGCGGGUAUCAAACAGGAUUAGAUACCCUGGUAGUCCGCACAGUAAACGAUGGACACCCGCGGUUUGGCCUGUAUGGCUGAGCCGCCAAGCGAAAGCGUUAAGUGUCCCACCUGGGGAGUACGCCGGCAACGGUGAAACUCAAAUGAAUUGGCGGGG